AGCGAACGCUAGCGGGAGGCCUAACACAUGCAAGCCGAGCGGUAUUUCUUCUUCGGAAGAGAGAGAGCGGCGUACGGGUGCGGAACACGUGUGCAACCUGCCUUUAUCUAGAGGAUAGCCUUUCGAAAGGAAGAUUAAUACUCUAUAAUAUAUUAAUUGGCAUCAAUUGAUAUUGAAAACUCCGGUGGAUAGAGAUGGGCACGCGCAAGAUUAGCUAGUUGGUAAGGUAACGGCUCACCAAGGCAAUGAUCUUUAGGGGGCCUGAGAGGGUGAUCCCCCACACUGGUACUGAGACACGGACCAGACUCCUACGGGAGGCAGCAGUGAGGAAUAUUGGUCAAUGGGUGCAAGCCUGAACCAGCCAUCCCGCGUGAAGGAUUAAGGUCCUAUGGAUUGUAAACUUCUUUUGUAUAGGGAUAAACCUACCCUCGUGAGGGUAGCUGAAGGUACUAUACGAAUAAGCACCGGCUAACUCCGUGCCAGCAGCCGCCGUAACAC
rnacentral:rRNA from 1 species